UGUGGAUGUGGCUCAGUGGUUGAGAGCCCCUGAGUUCAAUCCCCAGUGCCCCCCAAAACAUAAACAAAUAAAAGUCUACCAAUAACUAAAUUUUUUUUAAUUUUAACAUUUAAAAAAAUUUUUAAAUUAAAACAAAAAGUUUUGUUUUUGUACAUACCUCGGCUGGGAGGCGGAUCAGUGGACAGCGCGUGCCUAGGUUCAAUUCCCAGCACCACAA
rnacentral:tRNA from 1 species